rnacentral:rRNA from 1 species
GACGAACGCUGGCGGCGUGCCUAAUACAUGCAAGUAGAACGCUGAAGAGAGGAGCUUGCUCUUCUUGGAUGAGUUGCGAACGGGUGAGUAACGCGUAGGUAACCUGCCUGGUAGCGGGGGAUAACUAUUGGAAACGAUAGCUAAUACCGCAUAAAAUGGAUUAUCGCAUGAUAAUCCAUUGAAAGGUGCAAAUGCAUCACUACCAGAUGGACCUGCGUUGUAUUAGCUAGUUGGUGGGGUAACGGCUCACCAAGGCGACGAUACAUAGCCGACCUGAGAGGGUGAUCGGCCACACUGGGACUGAGACACGGCCCAGACUCCUACGGGAGGCAGCAGUAGGGAAUCUUCGGCAAUGGACGGAAGUCUGACCGAGCAACGCCGCGUGAGUGAAGAAGGUUCUCGGAUCGUAAAGCUCUGUUGUAAGAGAAGAACGAGUGUGAGAGUGGAAAGUUCACACUGUGACGGUAUCUUACCAGAAAGGGACGGCUAACUACGUG